AUAGUAAUGAUUAGGAUUUAGGAGUGAGAUUUAAAUAAAUAAAAGAAUUGACUAAAUUAUUGUUAGAGAAAUAUAUGGUAACAUAUUGUUAGUAUAAAUUUAAGGUAAGACCAAAAAAUAAUAAGUUAAAUAAGAAGGUCCAAACAACUUUUAUAAGUAGUUUUUUUAGACUCUUUUCCUUUUAAUAGUAUUGAUGUAAUUACUUGAUUUCCUUUGGUAUUCACAUUAUAUACAAAUAUAUAUUUUUCAUAUAAGAAAAUGUAGAUAUAAAGAAUUACUUUAUUACUUCAAAAGUAUAUUUUAUGUUAUUUAUAAAUAUUUUUUUAAAUGGAAUAUUACUAUUUUCUGAACUUUUCUUUUUAAUGAAAUCAUAUUAUAUAUACAUAUAUUUUCGUUUUUAAAUUUUCUUUUUAAACUUUAUAAAGAUUUCUUUUUUGUUAUAUAUGUUAUUUGGAAAAUUUUAAAAAUGAAACUAAAUGAAAAACUAAUAAUAGUAUUUAAAUAUAAUAUUUUUAAUUAUCAGUGUAAUCAACCAUCAAAUACGUAAGAAACCGACUUUUCGGUUAGUGUCAUAGAGAGAACCAUAGAAACUGAGAGUUGACAUAUUUUUUUAGUUUUCUUUGAAAAAAAUCACACCGUUUACAUGUGUCAUUAAAAAUUGUAUGAUCACAAAUACACCUUUAUAGUCAUGAUUACUCAUAUUUAUGUGAGAAAAGAACAUAUUGUAAGAAAAGUCAAAGAUGAAAAAAUGUAAGUGUGGUCGAAGUCUUUUAACACUAAGGAAAUCAGAACAGAUAUAGUAGUCAGUCCUCCACUUCGUGGCUGUAAAUAAAAUGAUUUGAAAGGUUGACACCGAUGAGUUGUUAUCAAAUCAUAUUUGCGAAAUCUAUCAUCUUACUGACUCUUUUGUCUUUUUUGAUGGGUGAUUCUAUUUGUAUUCCUCAUGGCUGGUUUGAUUCUAAGGACCACAUUAUUUAUAUAGUGGAUGGUUUUUUUUUCUUA